AGUGAACGCUGGCGGUAGGCCUAACACAUGCAAGUCGAACGGCAGCACAGUAAGAGCUUGCUCUUACGGGUGGCGAGUGGCGGACGGGUGAGGAAUACAUCGGAAUCUACUUUUUCGUGGGGGAUAACGUAGGGAAACUUACGCUAAUACCGCAUACGACCUACGGGUGAAAGCAGGGGAUCUUCGGACCUUGCGCGAAUGAAUGAGCCGAUGUCGGAUUAGCUAGUUGGCGGGGUAAAGGCCCACCAAGGGGGCGAUCCGUAGCUGGGCUGAGAGGAUGUACAGCCACACUGGAACUGAGACGCGGCCCAGACUCCUACGGGAGGCAGCAGUGGGGAAUAGUGGACAAUGGGCGCAAGCCUGAUCCAGCCAUACCGCGUGGGUGAAGAAGGCCUUCGGGUUGUAAAGCCCUUUUGUUGGGAAAGAAAAGCAGCAGGUUAAUACCCCGCUGUUCUGACGGUACCCAAAGAAUAAGCACCGGCUAACUUCGUG
rnacentral:rRNA from 1 species